rnacentral:rRNA from 1 species
GCGUGAGUGAUGACGGCCUUCGGGUUGUAAAGCUCUUUUAGUAGGGAAGAUAAUGACGGUACCUACAGAAAAAGCACCGGCAAACUUCGUGCCAGCAGCCGCGGUAAUACGAAGGGUGCUAGCGUUGUUCGGAAUCACUGGGCGUAAAGCGUACGUAGGCGGCUUUGCAAGUCGAUUGUGAAAGCCCCAGGCUCAACCUGGGAACUGCAAUCGAUACUGCUUCGCUCGAGUUUGGUGGGGGAUAGUGGAAUUCCUAGUGUAGGGGUGAAAUCCGU